rnacentral:rRNA from 1 species
CACGUAGGGUGCGAGCGUUGUCCGGAAUUAUUGGGCGUAAAGAGCUCGUAGGCGGUGUGUCGCGUCGGCCGUGAAAACCUGCAGCUUAACUGUGGGCGUGCGGUCGAUACGGGCAUCACUGGAGUUCGGCAGGGGAGACUGGAAUUCCUGGUGUAGCGGUGAAAUGCGCAGAUAUCAGGAGGAACACCGGUGGCGAAGGCGGGUCUCUGGGCCUUACCUGACGCUGAGGAGCGAAAGCGUGGGGAGCGAACAGG